GACGAACGCUGGCGGCGUGCUUAACACAUGCAAGUCGAACGAAGUGGCGAACGGGUGAGUAACGCGUAAUUAACCUGCCCUUCAGAGGGGGACAACAGUUGGAAACGACUGCUAAUACCGCAUACUGAAGGAGGGGAUUGCGUCUGAUUAGCUAGUGGGGGGGGGAACGGCCUACCAAGGCGAUGAUCAGUAGCCGGUGUGAGAGGGUGAACGGCCACAUUUGGACUGAGACACGGCCCAGGAUCCUACGGGAGGCAGGAGUGGGGAAACUUCCGCAAUGGAGGAAAGGCUGACGGAGCAACGCCGCGUGAGUGAUGACGGCCUUCGGGUGGUAAAGCUCUGUUAAUCGGGACGCGGUACCGGAAUAGAAAGCCACGGCUAACUACGUGCCAGCAGCCGCGGUAAUUC
rnacentral:rRNA from 1 species